rnacentral:pre_miRNA from 1 species
AAUAAAUCAAUUUUUUACUUUUUACCUAUAAUUUUUGACUCUUCGUCUUAUUUAAAUUUUUUUUACGAUUGAUACUUUUGUUUUUAUUAGAUGAUAAAUCAUGAAUAGUACUUUACGUGUGACUAUUUUUUUAAUUUUUUGAAAAUUUUUCAAAUAAGACGGAUGAUCAAAUGUUGGACACGGAAACC